CCCCAAUAGCACCUCUCUGUACUCGGACACAGCACCAACUCCAGGGUCAGAAUAAAGGCAGACGUUUAUGGCACCCAAGGCACACACAGGAAAGUUCAACCACAGAACUCAGCACUUGCCUCCAAGAUUAUCAAUGAGCCCUGUAUGCCCUUACUUGCAAUGCUUGUAAACAGAGGUGGAACAAUCUGAACAGGCAUUGUGAUGUUCAUUUGUAACAUCACUCUCAAGAAAGCACUUGAAGCCUGCAUCUCCUAACACAAAUAACUGAAGUACUUGGUUUAAAACGUACCCAAAUUUAUGCUGCUUUAGAGACAAGCUUUAUUCAUGGGUUACCUUGCCAACCACAAUUAGCACCCACUCCAGAUGAAGUGUAUCAUACAGCUACACCUCUUUACAAACAGAAAUGCCAUACAAAUGAAUUAUGCUAACCAUAAAAAUAGUUUUCUCAUUUUUUUCUCAUCAUAAGAGUAUCUUGAAGCUGUUAGGACUUCUUUAAAUGCUGUUGCAGAACGUGUUGAAAAUAUACCUCCACUGAAGCACUGGGAACAAUAUAUCCACAUCCAUAAAAUCAAUUUCUGCAUGUACGAUGAAAACCUAUGCAUUUCAGAGUAUUUCUGUAAAUCUGUCUUUACCCAGGAGCACCACUGAACCACAGCAUUUUUAUUUUUUUUCUGCUCUGGUUUCAGUUAGUAUAUAGGGUUUGAGAUCUUGGCUCAAAUUGAACGUUUAUUGAAUGAUUAACUGUAAGGAGAUUAAUUAUGUGUUAUUAGAAUCCAUCAGAUGAGAAAAACAUUUUAUAAUACUUCUUCAUUGCUGCAAGCAUUUUUGUCAGAAAGACCAGUUUCUCCAGCAUAUCUACAGAGAAUACUCAGUCCUAAAAGGAAGACCACUGAAGCCCAAGAGUACUUCACAUACAGGGUAUGUCUGCAGAAACUGCUUGGUAGGAAAUUUUGAUCGUGUCCAAGCUAGAAGGAAACUUUCUGGUCACAUCACAGAUGUAGUUACUUUAUUUUCACUUUCCAGAGAAAUAAAUCCACAUUUAUUUGGCUAGGUCUUUAAGGGGCAGAUAAUAACUCUGUCUUCUG